rnacentral:rRNA from 1 species
CCUACGGGAGGCAGCAGUGGGGAAUAUUGCGCAAUGGGCGAAAGCCUGACGCAGCGACGCCGCGUGAGGGAUGAAGGUCUUCGGAUCGUAAACCUCUGUCAGCAGGGAAGAACGGUCACUGUGCUAAUCAGCAGUGAAUUGACGGUACCUGACUAAGACGCCCCGGCUAACUACGUGCCAGCAGCCGCGGUAAUACGUAGGGGGCGAGCGUUAUCCGGAUUCACUGGGUGUAAAGGGAGCGUAGACGGCAGGGCAAGUCUGGAGUGAAAGGCGGGGGCUCAACCCCCGGACUGCUCUGGAAACUGCCAGGCUGGAGUGCAGGAGAGGUAAGUGGAAUUCCUAGUGUAGCGGUGAAAUGCGUAGAUAUUAGGAGGAACACCAGUGGCGAAGGCGGCUUACUGGACUGUGACUGACGUUGAGGCUCGAAAGCGUGGGGAGCAAACAGGAUUAGAUACCCCUGUAGUC